UGAAGUUUUUGCUCUGGAAACUGGGCCACCCUGUAAUUAUUCAGGAAAUACCACAUUAUGUCUAUUUGCAUUUCUACUGUUGGUUUGGGAUAUUUGUAAAGUUACAGGCAGAACAUCCUAAUUUCCAUUUGAUUAAAAUCAUAACCGGAAUAUAAUUGUUAGUAAUAAAUAAAUUAAAAAUG